rnacentral:tRNA from 3 species
GCCCCGGUAGCUCAGCCUGGGAGAGCACCCGGCUGAAGACCGGGGGGUCCCGGGUUCAAGUCCCGGCCGGGGCACCA